GUCUGCCGGUCCGUGAUGACCACCGCUUCCUCGAUCUCGCCGAAGACCUCGAAGUACUUGCGCAGGCUGGCGUCGGUGGUGUGGUAGGGCAGCCCCCCGACGAAGAUCUUGGUGAAAUGGUUUUGUAGGUGAAAGAAGAGCGUUUGAACCUGUAAGAGGAAGCACUGAGGAUCAUCAGCAGGGUGUUAUGCUUUGCAUCUAAGAAAGUCCUAGGAGAUAUUCCCUCCAACAGAAUGGAAAUGCCAGCUCUCCAGGGGACAUGGAAUGAGCAGGAGGAGAUCAGUGAAGCAAUCUGCUGUACCCUGUCACUCUGCUCUCCCAACAUACUCAUGAUGGAGCUGUUCUCUGCAAAGGUAUGACAAUGACACUAAUCUGUAGAUUUUUCAUCAGCAUAAAUAGAAGCUCAAAGGUGGGGGGAGCAAUGUAAUUCUGUGCCUAACUAAAACUAAACUAAGUCCUUCCUCAUCUGAAUCAUUCAAGACGAGAGCUGGAAUGAAAGUGUGAUCACACACACACACACACACACACACACACACACACACACAAUUUAUUCACAAGAGCCUCGAUAACUACUAAAAGAUAUAUGUAAGUAAGAAGAAAUUGGACUGCAAAAGGGAAAGGGAUGAAAGGAGAAACUAGCAAAGAAAGCAAGAUGAAAACAACAUACUAGACAACAAUGUGGAAAAAAUCUUUGUGUAUUUUUGAAGGAGUACAGAUAUUAACCUUAAUAGCAGCCAUAUGUUGUUUUAUGAUGGAGUCUGGUUCUGAUAAAGGCAUUGCUGGUGCUUUGAGGUUUGUGCAAACAUCGUAGCGUGCACUUACAUGAAGCUUAGUGGCCCAGGUCAGUCACUUGAUGUUGCCUCCUGAUGCCAUCAGGAGGCUGGGCAAGCACGAGAUGUGUGGAGCUGCUGCUGCUGCCGCCACCCAGCUCACUGUUUUACAGUGAGCAUUGUUUAUGAGCAGAAGGAGCACACGCUAAGAUGAUGAUGUAAGUACCAUGUGGUAAGCACAGAAGCAAGCCACAGUCAUUUGUCAUCUUUAUCGAGUAUGAGGUGCUGUGUGUAAUUGUGUUGCUGUGCUUUCACAUGACUGGCAGCACAGGAGGUUGGUCUGCACAAGCAUCACACAAACACAUGAGAAAUGGGCUUUGCUGAGACAUUACCCUGGCUACGUCUUCACUAGGUGUUAGGAAUUUCCGAGCUCCAUUAUAAUCUUAGGGAGCUACCAGGGUGUAUGUGGCCAGUCCUUAACUGAAAUGUUGUCAGGCUAUAACACCUGGCCACAAUUAACUCAUUGUUAGCUGCUACUGUGUCCUAUUUCAUCAAAUGCUGCUUAAGUGGUAUUCUAUUUACAUAUGUUUACUUUUUCUCACUUUUUUAGUAGAUACUUAUAUCACUGAUUUUCAGUCUUUACUUUUCUAUUAAGUCCAUCUAAUAUUAUGAACUUCCUCUAAAUUUCAUCUUAGGCUUAUACUAGAAAUUGUAUGUAUUUGUGUAUGCACUUCUUGACAAAUUUCAGUUAGGGAUAUAUGUCUAAUUUAUGCUUGAUUUAUUUUUUUUUUUGGCUGAUGAAUUAAAGAUCACUCUUUCAUUUCUUUAUCUUAAAUACACAGUGGGGAUGAGGAAUGUUUGUUUUUUUUUUU